UGGGGAGUAUUGGACAAUGGGGGCAACCCUGAUCCAGCAAUGCCGCGUGGGUGAUGAAGGCCUUCGGGUUGUAAAGCCCUUUCGGCGGGGACGAUGAUGACGGUACCCGCAGAAGAAGCCCCGGCUAACUUCGUGCCAGCAGCCGCGGUAAUACGAAGGGGGCUAGCGUUGUUCGGAAUGACUGGGCGUAAAGGGCGCGUAGGCGGCGAUUUUAGUCAGGCGUGAAAGCCCUGGGCUCAACCUAGGAACUGCGUUUGAUACUGGAUCGCUUGAGUGUGGGAGAGGAUGGUGGAAUUCCCAGUGUAGAGGUGAAAUUCGUAGAUAUUGGGAAGAACACCGGUGGCGAAGGCGGCCAUCUGGACCACUACUGACGCUGAGGCGCGAAAGCGUGGGGAGCAAACAGG
rnacentral:rRNA from 2 species